GACGAACGCUGGCGGCGUGCCUCACACAUGCAAGUCGAACGAGUGGCGGACGGGUGAGUAAUGUCUGGGAAACUGCCUGAUUAACGGGGCUAACUACUGGAAACGGUAGCUAAUACCGCAUACCAUCGGAUGUGCCCAGCUGGGAUUAGGUAGUAGGUGGGGUAAAGGCUCACCUUGGCGACGAUCCCUAGCUGGUGUGAGAGGCUGACCAGCCACAUUGGAACUGAGACACGGUCCAGACUCCUACGGUAGGCAGCAGGGGGGAAGAUUGCACAAUGGGCGCAAGUCUGAUGCAGCCAUGCCGCGUGGAUGAAGAAGGUCUUCGGGUUGUAAAGUACUUUUAGCGGGGAGGCGUUACCCGAAGAAGAAGCACCGGCUAACUCCGUGCCAGCAGCCGAGGUAAUAC
rnacentral:rRNA from 1 species